rnacentral:sRNA from 1 species
AAGGAUCAUUACCGAGUGAGGGCCCUCUGGGUCCAACCUCCCACCCGUGUUUAUCGUACCUUGUUGCUUCGGCGGGCCCGCCGUAAGGCCGCCGGGGGGCAUCUGCCCUCUGGCCCGCGCCCGCCGAAGACACCAUUGAACGCUGUCUGAAGAUUGCAGUCUGAGCAAUUAGUUAAAUAACUUAAAACUUUCAACAACGGAUCUCUUGGUUCCGGCAUCGAUGAAGAACGCAGCGAAAUGCGAUACGUAAUGUGAAUUGCAGAAUUCAGUGAAUCAUCGAGUCUUUGAACGCACAUUGCGCCCCCUGGUAUUCCGGGGGGCAUGCCUGUCCGAGCGUCAUUGCUGCCCUCAAGCACGGCUUGUGUGUUGGGCUCCGUCCUCCUCCCGGGGGACGGGCCCGAAAGGCAGCGGCGGCACCGCGUCCGGUCCUCGAGCGUAUGGGGCUUCGUCACCCGCUCUGUAGGCCCGGCCGGCGCUUGCCGACACAUCAAUCUUUUUUCCAGGUUGACCUCGGAUCAGGUAGGGAUACCCGCUGAACUUAAGCAUAUCAAUAAGCGGAGGAAAAGAAACCAACAGGGAUUGCCCCAGUAACGGCGAGUGAAGCGGCAAGAGCUCAAAUUUGAAAGCUGGCCCCCUCGGGGUCCGCAUUGUAAUUUGCAGAGGAUGCUUCGGGAGUGGCCCCCAUCUAAGUGCUCUGGAACGGGCCGUCAUAGAGGGUGAGAAUCCCGUAUGGGAUGGGGUGUCCGCGACCAUGUGAAGCUCCUUCGACGAGUCGAGUUGUUUGGGAAUGCAGCUCUAAAUGGGUGGUAAAUUUCAUCUAAAGCUAAAUAUUGGCCGGAGACCGAUAGCGCACAAGUAGAGUGAUCGAAAGAUGAAAAGCACUUUGAAAAGAGAGUUAAAAAGCACGUGAAAUUGUUGAAAGGGAAGCGCUUGCGACCAGACUCGCCUACGGGGUUCAGCCGGUAUUCGUACCGGUGUACUUCCCCGUGGGCGGGCCAGCGUCGGUUUGGGCGGCCGGUCAAAGGCCUUCGGAAUGUAACGCCUCUCGGGGCGUCUUAUAGCCGAGGGUGCCAUGCGGCCAGCCCGGACCGAGGAACGCGCUUCCGCACGGACGCUGGCAUAAUGGUCGUAAGCGACCCGUCUUGAAACCCGGACCAAGGAGUCUAACAUCUACCCGAGUGUUCGGGUGUCAAACCCUUGCCCG